GAAACCAACAGGGAUUGCCCCAGUAACGGCGAGUGAAGCGGCAAAAGCUCAAAUUUGAAAUCUGGCCUCCUACGGGGGUCCGAGUUGUAAUUUGUAGAGGAUGCUUCGGGUGUGGCCGCCGUCUAAGUUCCUUGGAACAGGACGUCAGAGAGGGUGAGAAUCCCGUCUUGGGCGGCCGGUCCGCGCCCGUGUGAAGCUCCUUCGAAGAGUCGAGUUGUUUGGGAAUGCAGCUCUAAGCGGGUGGUAAAUUUCAUCUAAAGCUAAAUACUGGUCGGAGACCGAUAGCGCACAAGUAGAGUGAUCGAAAGGUUAAAAGCACCUUGAAAAGGGAGUUAAACAGCACGUGAAAUUGUUGAAAGGGAAGCGCUUGCGGCCAGACUCGGGGGCGGGGUUCAGCGGGUGCUCGUCGCCCGUGCACUCCCCGUCUCCCGGGCCAGCAUCAGUUUCGACGGCCGGUCAAAGGCCUCCGGAAUGUGUCGUCUCUCGGGACGUCUUAUAGCCGGGGGUGCAAUGCGGCCCGUCGGGACUGAGGAACGCGCUUCGGCUCGGAUGCUGGCGUAAUGGCCGUAAGCGGCCCGUCUUGAAAGCACGGACCAAG
rnacentral:rRNA from 1 species